rnacentral:lncRNA from 1 species
AUAUUUUCACAGUGAACUAUCCUAGAGCAAUGCAAACAACAAUUUACAAGUAUUUAUGACUUUAUAGCUGAACCUUAACAGAAGUAAUGUUGAGUGAAAAACAGAUAUAAUUAUAUAAAGUUUAAAAAUAGACAAAGCAAAUUAAGUAUUGUAAGUCAAAAUAGUUGUUGGUCUUUGGAAUAGGUAUCUGUAAAAAGGGAACCAGGAAGGAUUCUAAGAUGCAAAUAAUGUCUUGAUCUGGGUGUUGGUUGCAUGAAUAUGUUUGAUUUAUGAAGAUUGAUCGAGCUGUAUAAUUUAUUAUCUGUGCACUUUUCUAUGUAAAUUCAGUUUAAAGUUCCCCAAAGUUGUUAGAUAAUUACAUAGAUAUUUCAAUAGCACUAUUGUUGUUAAUUUAUUUUUUUGUAGUACUGGGGAUUGAACCCAGGGUCUCACAUGUGUUAGGCAAAUGUUCUACUACUUAGUUAUAUCCCCAGCCCUUUUUAUUUUUCAUUUUGAAAUAAGGUCUUGUGGUGUUUCGCAGACUGGCCUCAGACUUGUCAUCCUCCUGUCUCCAUCUCCCAAGUAAUAUUACUCCAUCUUGAUUUAGGAGAGAAAUGUCCCUUAAUUGUCAUCUGGGCAAAAGUUACUUCUUAUUCUCCCAUUUUCAUUCAGAGAACAUUUCGAUUUUGUAUUUUAUACAUUUUUUAUCCUAAUUAUGAAAACUGCCAAGUUUUCAUUGAAAAUAUUUUUACUUCAAACUUCCAUUUAUAAACCUAUUUAAUUCUUAGAUCAAUAUAAUUUUUACAACAUGACAGUUUUAAAUGUAAGGAUGUCAGUUUUUCCAUGAAGAUACAAUUUACUGAUGUUUUAUCCAUGUCAAAAUAGUCCUUAUAGAUUAUUGGUUACAUUAGGGGCUUGCAUCAGAUUUUACCAGUUAGAAUUUUUUUGUGAAUUUUCUCCUGUGACCACUAGUUUCUACAUGGUAUAAUUUUCCUAAUUCAAAUUUUAUGUAAUUGAAUUUUACGAAAAGAUUUUUUAAAAUCAAUUUUAAGAAGACAUGUUACUGAGCCAGGCCACUAUAGUAGUAGCACACACUUGUAAUCCCAUCAACUCUGGAGACUGAGGCAGGAGGAUUGAAGUUUGAGGCCAGCCUGGGCACCUUAGCAAGACUCUGUCUCAAGAAAAAUAAUAAGGGAUAGGGGUAUAGCUUAGUGGUAGAGCAUCCCUGUAUUCAAUCCCUGAUACCACACACAAACACAAAAAAGUUAUUCUUUUCAGUUUUUAGCUGGAAUAGUUUUAUUUGGGGUUGAUUGUUUCUACCUAUUUCAAUUUUUCCUUGUUAAUUUUUCUAAUGAUGCUCAGAUCAGGAAAUGUGAUCCUCAGUUAUAAUGUUUUGUCAUCCAUGAUCAUUUUUAUCAUUUUUAGCUAUCAGUUGGUAUUAUACAACUAAUAUUCUUUACAGAUAGGAUAAAAACUGAUAAAAGUUUAUUGGUAAUUUCUUGGGGUAGAAUGCUUUGGUAGGGCACAAGCAUGGAAAAUAUACUCCAG